ACUGCUCAGUAACACGUAGUCAACCUGCCCUAGAGACACAGACAACCCCGGGAAACUGGGAUUAAUCCGUGAUAGGUCAUCUCAUCUGGAAGGAGAGAUGGCUUAAAGGGGUGCGCGGGCUUCUUCCGCGUAUUCGCUCUAGGAUGGGACUGCGUCCGAUCAGGCUGUUGGCGGGGUAAUGGCCCACCAAACCUGUAACCGGUACGGGCCUUGAGAGAGGUGGCCCGGAGAUGGACACUGAGAGAAGGGUCCAGGUCCUACGGGGCGCAGCAGGCGCGAAACCUUCGCAAUGCGCGAAAGCGUGACGAGGUUAAUCCGAGUGGCCCCCGCUGAGGGGGUCUUUUGUCAGCUGUAAAUAGGCGGGCGAAUAAGGGGAGGGCAAGCCUGGUGUCAGCCGCCGCGGUAAUACCAGCUCCUCGAGUGGUCGGGGCGAUUAUUGGGCCUAAAGCAUCCGUAGCCGGUUCCGUAGGUCCUCUGUUAAAUCCAACCGCUUAACGGUUGACCUGCAGAGGAUACCGCGGGACUAGGAGGCGGGAGAGGCGGACGGUACUCCGCGUGUAGGGGUAAAAUCCUUUGAUCCGCGGAAGACCACCAGUGGCGAAGGCGGUCCGCCAGAACGCGCUCGACGGUGAGGGAUGAAAGCUGGGGGAGCGAACCGGAUUAGAUACCCGGGUAGUCCCAGCCGUAAACGAUGCGAGCUAGAUGAUUCGAUCGCAUAACGCGAUCGAAGUGUCGCAGGGAAGCCGUUAAGCUCGCCGCCUGGGGAGUACGGUCGCAAGGCUGAAUUGUAAGCGGACAUUCCGUUUGCACAGUUCACUUAAAGGAAUUGGCGGGGGAGCAC
rnacentral:rRNA from 1 species